GACGAACGCUGGCGGCGUGCUUAACACAUGCAAGUCGAACGGAAAGGCCCUGCUUGCAGGGUGCUCGAGUGGCGAACGGGUGAGUAACACGUGGGUGAUCUGCCCCUUACUUUGGGAUAAGCCUGGGAAACUGGGUCUAAUACUGGAUAGGACCAUGCUGUAGGUGGUGUGGUGGAAAGAUUAGUUUCGGUAAGGGAUGAGCUCGCGGCCUAUCAGCUUGUUGGUGGGGUAAUGGCCUACCAAGGCGUCGACGGGUAGCCGGCCUGAGAGGGUGGACGGCCACAUUGGGACUGAGAUACGGCCCAGACUCCUACGGGAGGCAGCAGUGGGGAAUAUUGCACAAUGGGCGCAAGCCUGAUGCAGCGACGCCGCGUGGGGGAUGACGGCCUUCGGGUUGUAAACUCCUUUCAGCCAUGACGAAGCCCUUGUGGUGACGGUAGUGGUAGAAGAAGCACCGGCUAACUACGUGCCAGCAGCCGCGGUAAUACGUAGGGUGCGAGCGUUGUCCGGAAUUACUGGGCGUAAAGAGCUCGUAGGUGGUCUGUCGCGUCAUUUGUGGAAGUCCGGGGCUUAACUCCGGGUUGGCAGGUGAUACGGGCAUGACUGGAGUACUGUAGGGGAGACUGGAAUUCCUGGUGUAGCGGUGAAAUGCGCAGAUAUCAGGAGGAACACCGGUGGCGAAGGCGGGUCUCUGGGCAGUAACUGACGCUGAGGAGCGAAAGCAUGGGUAGCGAACAGG
rnacentral:rRNA from 1 species